rnacentral:lncRNA from 1 species
CUCUUCUGCAGCCUCCACAAGGGAAUGAAGGCUGGCAUCUAAACUCAAUCAGCAAAAUAAAUUCAAUAAGGAAGAUUUGAAGAUCAAAGACCUUCCUCUCUCUGGCUUCACAUUUCUCAUCACUAGGUCAGUGAUGUUCAAAUCAUUUUUAGGUGAUAGUUUUAUGUGUCAACUGACUGGGCCAUGGAGUCAAGAGGGUUUGGUCAAGCAUUAUUCUAGGUGUGUCUGUAAAGGUAGGUAGGUGUGUGUGUGUGUGUGUGUGUGUGUGUGUGUGUUUUAAUAUAGAGAUAGGGUCUUGCUCUUGCUCUGUUGCCUAGACUGGAGUGCUGUAGCAUGACUAUAGCUUACUGCAGCCUCAGCCUCCCAGGCGCAAGCAAUCCUCCCAUUCCAGCCUCCCAAGUAUCUAGAACGACAGGUGCAUGCCAACACCUCUGGCUAAUUUAUUUUAAUUUUUUUUUUGUAGAGACAGGGUCUUGCUCUGUUGCUCAGGCUGGUCUCGAAUUCCUGGGCUCAAGUGAUCCUCCUGCCUCAGCCUCACAUAGCCCUGGGAUUACAGGUGUGAACCACUGCACCCAGCCUGUAGGGUGUCCCUGCAUGAGAAUAAUAUCUAAAUCAGUAGGCUGAGUAAAGCAGAUUGCCCUUCCUAAUAUGAGUGGGCCUCAUCCAACAGUUGAAAGCCUGAAAGAACAAAAAAGCUGACCCUUCCCUGAGUAAGAGAGAAUUCUUCCUGCGUGAUGAUCUUCAAUCUGGGACAUUGACUUUUUUUCUGCCUUUGGCCUGAAACAUUGGCUCUCCCUGGGUCUCGAGCCUGCGGGCCUUUGGACUGGAACUAAAUUAUCAGCUCUCCUGGGCCUCCAGGUUGUCUAUUCACCCUGCAGAUCUUUCAACUUGCCAGACCCCAUAAUUAUGUGAACCAAUUCAUUAUAAAAAUAAAUCUCGAUUGCUGGCAAGAUGGCCGAACAGGAACAGCUCCGGCCUGUAGCUCCCAGCGAGAUCGACAUAGAAGGUGGGUGAUUUCUGCAUUUCCAACUGAGGUACCUGGUUCAUCUCAUUGGGACUGGUUGGACAGUGGGUGCAGCCCACGGAGGGCGAGCCGAAACAGGGUGGGGCAUUGCCUCACCCGGGGAAGUGUAAGGGGUGGGGGAAUUUUCACCCCUACCCAAGGGAAGCCAUGAGAAACUGAGCCUGAGGAACUCCAGCACAGAUACUGCGCUUGUCCCAUAGUCUUCACAACCCACACACCAGGAGAAUCCCUCCGGUGCCCACCCCACCAGGGCCUUGGGUUUCAAGCACAAAACUGGGUGGCCAUUUGGGCAGACACCCAACUAGCUGCAGGAGUUCUUUUUUUUUUUUUUUUCUUGAGAUGGAGUCUCACUCUGUCGCCCAAGCUGGAUUGCAGUGGCGCAAUCUCGGUUCACUGCAAGCUCCACCUCCCGGGUUCACGCCAUUCUCCUGCCUCAGCCUCCCGAGUAGGUGGAACUACAGGUGCCCACCACCAUGCCCGGCUAAUUUUUUGUAUUUUUAGUACAGAUGGGGUUUCACCGUGUUAGCCAGGAUGGUCUCGAUCUCCUGACCUUGCGAUCUGCCCGCCUUGGCCUCCCAAAGUGCUGGGAUUACAGGUGUAAGCCACCGCACCCGGCCUGCAGGAGCUCUUUUUUUUUCCAUACCCCAGUGGCGCCUGGAACACCAGUGAGACAGAACCAUUCACUCCCCUGGAAAAGGGGUGCAGAAGCCAGGGAGCCAAGUGGUCUGGCUGAGCGGGUCCCACCCCCAUGGAGCCCAGCAAACUAAGAUCCACUGGCUUGAAAUUCUCGCUGCCAGUACAGCAGCAGUCUGAGAGCGACCUGGGAUGCUGGAGUUUGGUGGGGGGAAGGGCGUCCGCCAUUGCUGAGGCUUGAGUAGACCGGUUUUACACUCACAGUGUAAACAAAGCCACUGGGAAGUUCGAACUGGGUGGAGCCCACUGCAGUUUAGCAAGGCUGCAGUGGUCAGACUGCCAGAUUUCUCUUCUCUGGGUGGGGCAUCUCUGAAAAAAAAGGCAGUAGCCCCAGUCAGGGACUUACAGAUAAAACUCCCAUCUUCCUGGGACAGAGCACCUAGGGAAAGGGGUGGCUGUGGGCGAAGCUUCAGCAGACUUAAAGGUCACUGCCUGACAGCUCUGAAAGAGAGCAGCAGACUUCCCAGCACAGCAUUCAAGCUCUGCUAAGGGUCAGACUGCCCCCUCAAGUGGGUCCCAAAUGGAACCAACCCAAAUGCCCAUCAAUGAUAGACUGGAUAAAGAAAAUGUGGCACAUAUACACCAUAGAAUACUAUGCAACCAUAAAAAAGGAUGAGUUCAUGUUCUUUGCAGGGACAUGGAUGAAGCUGGCAACUAUCAUUCUCAGCAAACUAUCACAAGAACAGAAAACCAAACACUGCAUGUUCUUACUCAUAAGUGGGAGUUGAACAAUGAGAACACGUGGAAACAGGG